rnacentral:rRNA from 1 species
CCCUUAGAUGUUCUGGGCCGCACGCGUGCUACACUGAGUGGAUCAGCGGGUCAGGUUGCGCGAAAGCGUUUCCUAAUCUUUAAAUCCGCUCGUGACGGGGAUUGGCGGUUGCAAUUUUCUGUCAUGAACGAGGAAUACCUUGUAAGCGCGGGUCAUCAUCCCGCGCUGAAUACGUCCCUGCCCUUUGUACACACCGCCCGUCGCUCCUACCGAUUGAGUGGUCCGGUGAGGCUUUGGGAUCUGAGCGGAAAGAGCGUUUCGCUGUUUCUGCUCGGAAAACUCAGUCGAACCUUAUCAUUUAGAGGAAGGAGAAGUCGUAACA